rnacentral:rRNA from 1 species
GACGAACGCUGGCGGCGUGCCUAAUACAUGCAAGUAGAACGCACAGUUUAUACCGUAGCUUGCUACACCAUAGACUGUGAGUUGCGAACGGGUGAGUAACGCGUAGGUAACCUGCCUGGUAGCGGGGGAUAACUAUUGGAAACGAUAGCUAAUACCGCAUAAUAUUAAUUAUUGCAUGAUAAUUAAUUGAAAGGUGCAAUUGCACCACUACCAGAUGGACCUGCGUUGUAUUAGCUAGUAGGUGAGGUAACGGCUCACCUAGGCGACGAUACAUAGCCGACCUGAGAGGGUGAUCGGCCACACUGGGACUGAGACACGGCCCAGACUCCUACGGGAGGCAGCAGUAGGGAGUCUUCGGCAAUGGACGAAAGUCUGACCGAGCAACGCCGCGUGAGUGAAGAAGGUUUUCGGAUCGUAAAGCUCUGUUGUAAGAGAAGAACGGGUGUGAGAGUGGAAAGUUCACACUGUGACGGUAUCUGACCAGAAAGGGACGGCUAACUACGUG